GGACGAAAGUCUGAACCAGCCAUGCCGCGUGCAGGAUGACUGCCCUAUGGGUUGUAAACUGCUUUUAUAUAGGAAGAAAAACUUUCUCGUGAGAAAGCUUGACGGUACUAUAAGAAUAAGGAUCGGCUAACUCCGUGCCAGCAGCCGCGGUAAUACGGAGGAUCCAAGCGUUAUCCGGAAUCAUUGGGUUUAAAGGGUCCGUAGGUGGACAAAUAAGUCAGAGGUGAAAUCCUGCAGCUCAACUGUAGAACUGCCUUUGAUACUGUUUGUCUUGAGUUGUUAUGAAGUGGUUAGAAUGUGUAGUGUAGCGGUGAAAUGCAUAGAUAUUACACAGAAUACCGAUUGCGAAGGCAGAUCACUAAUAAUCAACUGACACUGAUGGACGAAAGCGUGGGUAGCGAACAGGAUUAGAUACCCUGGUAGUCCACGCCGUAAACGAUGGUCACUAGCUGUUUGGACUUCGGUCUGAGUGGCUAAGCGAAAGUGAUAAGUGACCCACCUGGGGAGUACGUUCGCAAGAAUGAAACUCAAAGGAAUUGACGGGGGCCCGCACAAGCGGUGGAGCAUGUGGUUUAAUUCGAUGAUACGCGAGGAACCUUACCAGGGCUUAAAUGUUAGGUGACAGAUCUAGAAAUAGAUUUUUCUUCGGACACUUAACAAGGUGCUGCAUGGUUGUCGUCAGCUCGUGCCGUGAGGUGUCAGGUUAAGUCCUAUAACGAGCGCAACCCCUGUUGUUAGUUGCCAGCGAGUAAUGUCGGGAACUCUAGCAAGACUGCCAGUGCAAACUGUGAGGAAGGUGGGGAUGACGUCAAAUCAUCACGGCCCUUACGUCCUGGGCUACACACGUGCUACAAUGGUAGGUACAGAGAGCAGCCAAUGCGCGAGCAUGAGCAAAUCUAUAAAACCUAUCUCAGUUCGGAUCGGAGUCUGCAACUCGACUCCGUGAAGCUAGAAUCGCUAGUAAUCGGAUAUCAGCCAUGAUCCGGUGAAUACGUUCCCGGGCCUUGUACACACCGCCCGUCAAGCCAUGGAAGUUGGGAGUGCCUGAAGUCCGUUUCCGCAAGGAUCGGCCUAGGGUAAAAUCGAUAACUAGGGCUAAGUCGUAACAAGGUAGCCGUACCGGAAGGUGCGGCUGGAACACCUCCUUUCU
rnacentral:rRNA from 1 species